AGUGAACGCUGGCGGUAGGCCUAACACAUGCAAGUCGAACGGCAGCACAGUAAGAGCUUGCUCUUACGGGUGGCGAGUGGCGGACGGGUGAGGAAUACAUCGGAAUCUACUUUUUCGUGGGGGAUAACGUAGGGAAACUUACGCUAAUACCGCAUACGACCUACGGGUGAAAGCAGGGGAUCUUCGGACCUUGCGCGAUUGAAUGAGCCGAUGUCGGAUUAGCUAGUUGGCGGGGUAAAGGCCCACCAAGGCAACGAUUCGUAGCUGGUCUGAGAGGAUGAUCCGCCCCACUGGAACUUAGAAACGGUCCAGAAUCCUACGGGAGGCAGCAGUGGGGAAAUUUGGGCAAUGGGCGGAAGCCUGGCUCAGCAAAACCGCGUGGGUGAAGAAGGGCUUCGGGGUGGAAAACCCUUUUUUUGGGGAAGAAAAAAAGGAUGUUUAAAACCCCACGUUUUGACGGGAACCAAAAAAAAAGCCACGGCUAACUUCGUG
rnacentral:rRNA from 1 species